ACUCGGGUAAGUCUUAUACGACCAGCUCCUGUAGAAUCCCCCAGGCAAGGAAUUGAGCAAGGGUAUACGGUUGUAGCGGUGCGAUAUAAGUAGCUUACCCAU
rnacentral:SRP_RNA from 1 species